rnacentral:tRNA from 1 species
GCGAGCGUGGCGAAAUUGGCAGACGCACCAGACUUAGGAUCUGGCGGUACCCACCUUGGGGGUUCGACUCCCCCCGCUCGCA